rnacentral:rRNA from 1 species
CCUGUACUCGGUGUUACUGCGAAGGGGGGACGGAGAAGGCUAUGUUGGCCGGGCGACGGUUGUCCCGGUUUAAGCAUGUAGGCGGAUGUUCCAGGUAAAUCCGGAACGUUAUUAACGCUGAGGUGUGAUGACGAGGCACUACGGUGCUGAAGUGACAAAUGCCCUGCUUCCAGGAAAAGCCUCUAAGCAUCAGGUAACAUCAAAUCGUACCCCAAACCGACAC